rnacentral:rRNA from 1 species
AUGACUCUAAGAAGGAGCACCAUGCUGAUUGCUCUUCUCGUUGUUUUGCUCGCCUUUUCAGGCCCAAUCAAAGGAGAAGAUGACUUGGGCGGAGGUGAUGGCGGUGACUUGGCCCCUCCUCCUAACCCAGGGGGCAGUCAUUUGUCUCCUCCACCUCCUCCAUCUCCAAAGAGCCAUCCACCUCCACCUCCAAAGACUGAUUUGGCUCCUCCUCCAUCUCCAAAGACCAAUCCACCUCCACCUGCACCGAUCCAGCCGCCACCAGGCCCCUGUGCGGAAGUGAGGUGGUACAAAGGGCCGUGCGUCAACAUGGUUUGCGCGGCCGCUUCUAUCGCAGAGUUGCAUCAGGGCGGCCACUGUCGUGGGCAUAUUUUUACUGGUGGUUGCUAUUGUUUCGUGUGUUCGGUAGCAAAGUCUAGCCCAUCAUUACAUUGA